rnacentral:siRNA from 1 species
UGAGCCUUUGUUUUUGCAUUCA